CCUGGGGAGAGGGAAGGAGCAUGAGGACAGGAUGGCCACGCAAUUAGACGAGGUGGUCACCCAAGUCGAUGGUGGUGGUCCUGGUGUGAUUACACGGCUUCGCAAGGAUGUGCAUGUGUGUGUGUGUGUGUGUGUGUGUGUGUGUGUGCGCCGUGCUGGUGUAACAUGGGCACGUGCAUUUGCAAAGCAAGGAGAUCACCCGGUUGUACAAUGUGGCUCUAUCAUCACUUGCAGAAGCCACUUCUGGCAAGACUUUCCCUCUCUGAGCCUCAGUUUCCUCAUCUGGAAAAUGGGGGGCUUAGAGGACCAAAUACCUUACAAGGCUGCCUAAAGGAUGAACAUAGGACAAGCUGUACAGAACAUGGCAGGUGGUCAGCAUCAAUAAAGUGACAAUGACAUUCAACCACGGGCAAAAGUAAUGUCCCACAAUAGAAGUCAGAAGAGUGGGCAUCUCUGGGGGUUGAAGGAUCCUUGUAGGGGGUCGGGGAAGAGUCUGCCUCUCGAUUUGGAAGGAUGGUGACGUGGGUGAAUAUUCGUGUUAAACAAUCUAGGUUUACACCAAAGAUUAUGCACGUUAUGUAUGCUAUGUCUUAAUAAAAAAGAAAAGCCCUUUAUAAAUCAGAACUCCUUUGACCCUGACCUCAGCCCUCAGUGUGGGUACUGUGUGUAUACCCAUUUACAGAUGAGGACCCUGAGUAUUGGAGAGAUGGAACCACUUGUCCAAGGUCACCAGCUUGUCACUGACGAAGGUGGGAACUGAACCCCAACCUGUCUUGCAAACUUCUGCCCUACUUACGAUGAGAGAACCGAGGUCCAGUGAGAUUAAGUCACCGGGCCAUGCUCCUGCAGCCAGCCGCUGGUAGAGUCAGGAUUUGAACCCAGGACGUCUGGCUUAACUCAAGGCUCUACUGCUGGUCAACACACGGAUGGCUGGGAAGGGCUGGUUUCCCAGGAAGAGGAUGGGGGCUUACGAGCGGUAGAAGGAGGGCCAAGGUCUCACCUGCAGGGUACAGUGCGUGAGGGGGUAGAUGCCGCUCAGGCCUGGGGUCCAAGCCACCUCCAGCUCUGUGGGCUGACGGGAAGCCAGGUGGAGGUUGUGGGGCCUCUGGGGGAGCACUGUGGAGAGAUGAGGGGAGGGUUUGACCCUGGGGGGCCUUGGCCCAAAGCUCCCCACCCUCCCCUCUACCCCAGCUCUGACCUUGGGCCCAGACCUCACACCCUCUGACACCCAGCUCCCCAGCUCCCUUUCCUGUCACCUGUGAUGGUGGCUGUGCGGGAUGUGGUGACCCCCUUGGCAUUGUGGGCUUCACAGGAGAAAGAAGACGUCUUGUUCAAGCCUGGGGAGUCACAGAAGGAAGGGCCCAGUGUCAGAGAGGCCAAGAAGGGGUUCCCGGGCCAUGCUGGGCCACCUCCUACAGCCUGACAGGGUCAGUCUAGCCCACAUGGGCACCUGCUGCAUGGGAAAGAGGGGGGAAGGGCGAUGAGUUGGGAACGCAGGCCUCCAUCCUCAGAUGCAAAGACAAGGACAGGCUGGUGGCCUCAGUCCUGAUGCCCCACCACACAGACAUACAUACAUGCAGACACACACAGGGGCACACACACACACAGACUUACAUACCCAUACAUACACACAGAAACACAUACUCAUACAUGCAUAUAUAGACACGCAGACACACACACUUAGGCACAGAAACACACACGCGCACACACACACACACACACACACACAGCCACAUACUGGGACAAACGCGGACACGAUCACGCUGAGCCACACAGGCACACGUAGAGGCUUCUAUACCGAAUGGACACACACUUAAGAAACAGGCCUUCACCGGUGUGUAUAAAGGUAAUGUUUGUUCACUUAUAAGCUCUAAGCUCAGCUCCUACCAAGCCCCCUCCCCCUCCCGCCCUCAGUGGCCUCCCGGUGUUUCUGGAACACAGGCCAUCAGACAUCAGACACGUUCCCACCUCCUCAGGAACCUUGCAUUUCUCUGUUCCCUCCGCUUGGAUCAGUCUUCCCACAGAUGUGCACGUGGCUCCCUCCUGCCCUCCUUCACAUUUGUUACUAGACCUCACCUUCUCAGCCACCCCGCCCCUGGCUGUCUUGUUUAGAGCUGGGAGCUCACAUCCAUUAUCUAGCCACUCCACUGCUUUACUUUUCCUCUAGUUCUUCUCAUCACAACAUACUUUACCUAUUACCUUGUCUUGCUUAGUGUCUACUCCACUACAUCAACUCCAGGAGGGCAGGGGUUUCUGUUUUGCCCCCAGCUGUAUGCCCCAGGGCAUACGAUGACCUUGCACACAACAGGUGCUCUGUAAAUGCUUGUUGAACGAAUGGAUGAAUUUAUGUGGAUGCCUUCA